rnacentral:tRNA from 1 species
GCGCCUUUGGCUCAGUUGGUAGAGCAACUGACUCUUAAUCAGUGGGUCCAGGGUUCGAGUCCCUGAAGGCGCACCA